UGGCGGACGGGGUGAGUAACGCGUGGGUAACCUGCCCUGUACAGGGGGAGUAACAGUUAGAAAGUGACUGCUAACACCGCAUAAGCGCACGGUAAGGGCAUCUUAGUGUGUCGAAAAUAUUAAUAGGUACAGGAUGGGCCCGCGUCUGAUUAGCCAGUUGGCAGGGUAACGGCCUACCAAAGCGACGAUCAGUAGCCGGCUUGAGAGAGUGAACGGCCACAUUGGGACUGAGACACGGCCCAAACUCCUACGGAAGGCAGCAG
rnacentral:rRNA from 1 species